CGCACCCCUGGAACUGUGCAGGGCCCACCUGUGUGGCCACACGCAGUGACCCUGAGCAAAGGAGUGACCACAGAAGUGCAUGGCAAAGCAGAAAGGUGUGACGUCUUGGAGGACGCGGGAGGAAAGCACGCCCAGCGGACAGGAGCCAUCACGCGGCUGCGGGCUGCUGCUGAGAACCUGGCGUGGGCCACCAUCGUCAGCAGCGUGGAGAUGUCGCAGGUCCUGAAACGCUGCUCUUUGUG
rnacentral:lncRNA from 1 species